rfam:Ciona savignyi cont_27791, whole genome shotgun sequence.
CCUUCUAUAGCUCAGUUGGUAGAGUGGUGGACUGUAGAAAUUGUGAUGGUUAUCCAUAGGUCGCUGGUUCGAAUCCGGCUCGAAGGA